UACAGAGGUCUCAAGCGUUGUUCGGAUUCAUUGGGCGUAAAGGGUGCGUAGGCGGCGCGGUAAGUCGGGUGUGAAAUCUCGGAGCUUAACUCCAGAACUGCCUUUGAUACUGAGGAUCUUGAGUUCGGGAGAGGUGAGUGGAACUGCGAGUGUAGAGGUGAAAUUCGUAGAUAUUCGGAAGAACACCAGUGGCGAAGGCGGCUCACUGGCCCGGUACUGACGCUGAGGUGCGAAAGCGUGGGGAGCAAACAGG
rnacentral:rRNA from 1 species